AUGCGGCCUCCGGCGCCCAAGACCUCCGCCUACAGCGAACAAGAACCUCGUCCGGAGAACCUUCUUCUUCUCCUAGCUCCCCCCCGUGCUGCCAAACUCUCCCUUGGCUGCCCCCUCUUGGACCGCCUCCUCUCCGGUGGCCUCCCCGCCGCGUCGGUCACAGAGAUUGCUGGCGAAUCCGCCGCCGGGAAGACCCAGCUUUGCCUCCAGCUCGCCCUCCUCGCGCCCCUCUCCCCUCACCCUUCCUCCUCCCUCUUCCUAUGCUCCGACGUCCCCUUUCCCCUCCGCCGCCUCCGCCUCCUUGCCCCCAAAUCGCGGCCAGACCUCCUGGAUCACGUCCUUGUGGCCGCUGUACACUCCCCCUCCGACCUCCUCUCCCUCCUAUCCCGCGCCCAGUACCACCUCUCCCACCCGAGUCGCUCCCCCCACCCCCUGCCUAUCCGCGUCAUCCUCCUUGACUCCAUCGCUUCCCUCUUCCGCGCCGACUUCGACGCCUCACCCGCCGACCUCAAACGCCGGUCUGGGCUCUUCUUCAAGAUAUCCGCAAAACUCAAGGAACUGGCUCACAGGCACCAAUGUGUGGUUGUUGUUACCAACCAGGUCGUCGACGUAGUGGAGGGGACCACGGGAAACACCGUGGCCUGGUCGUCGGGGCGGCAGGUGAGCCCUGCGCUGGGGCUUGCGUGGGCCAACUGCGUCAACACUCGGCUGUUCCUGACGCGGGAGGUGGAUAGCAACGGUGGGAGUGCGAGGAGGCACAUGAAGGUGGCCUUCGCGCCGCACCUGCCGGUGCGGACGUGUGAGUUCGUGAUACGGAGGGACGGUGUCUUCGGCGUUGAGCCGGCACAAAGGUAG
rnacentral:rRNA from 1 species